rnacentral:rRNA from 1 species
UACGUAGGGUGCGAGCGUUGUCCGGAAUUAUUGGGCGUAAAGAGCUCGUAGGCGGUUCGUCGCGUCGGCUGUGAAAUCCCGGAGCUCAACUCCGGGUCUGCAGUCGAUACGGGCGGACUCGAGUUCGGCAGGGGAGACUGGAAUUCCUGGUGUAGCGGUGAAAUGCGCAGAUAUCAGGAAGAACACCCGUGGCUAAGGCGGCUCUCUAGUACGGUACUGACGCUGAGACGCGAAAGCGUGGGGAGCGAACAGG